CCUACGGGUGGCAGCAGUGGGGAAUAUUGCACAAUGGGCGCAAGCCUGAUGCAGCCAUGCCGCGUGUGUGCAGAAGGCCUUCGGGUUGUAAAGCACUUUCAGCGGGGAGGAAGGCGUUAAGGUUAAUAACCUUGGCGAUUGACGUUACCCGCAGAAGAAGCACCGGCUAACUCCGUGCCAGCAGCCGCGGUAAUACGGAGGGUGCAAGCGUUAAUCGGAAUUACUGGGCGUAAAGCGCACGCAGGCGGUCUGUCAAGUCGGAUGUGAAAUCCCCGGGCUCAACCUGGGAACUGCAUUCGAAACUGGCAGGCUAGAGUCUUGUAGAGGGGGGUAGAAUUCCAGGUGUAGCGGUGAAAUGCGUAGAGAUCUGGAGGAAUACCGGUGGCGAAGGCGGCCCCCUGGACAAAGACUGACGCUCAGGUGCGAAAGCGUGGGGAGCAAACAGGAUUAGAUACCCCAGUAGUC
rnacentral:rRNA from 1 species